ACAGACUCCAGUGCCAGGAGGCAAUCCUCUGAUUUCACCACAGCAUGUCUGGAGAGAUGCCAGAGCCACGCACAGCCUCCCAAGCACACUUGCAAGGGCUGUCAAUUUCACUGUGAUUAAAGCACCUGGCUUUUGGAGAAAGGGAGAUGAAAAGGUACUUAGCAGUGAUUUAUUCCUGCUCACAGUCACUCCUUCUCUACACUGAGCCGCCUGGAUACAAUUAGGAAAACAUUCCAUUGGCAAAAGUGGCCUAGAAGAUCACAUUUGGUUACAGAAGAACCCAAAAGACUCAAGACAACACUCUGAAAACCAUCAAAAUGGUCUCUGAGCAUGUUCAUCUAAAUAUUAGUAACUGAAAAUUUUAUAGCAACGUUUUACUUAAUUUUCUUAACAGCAAAGCACUUGGAAAAUAUGAAAAGUUUGGUUCUAGGUAUGUUGCCAAUCUGCUUAUAGGGUCAAAAAAACCACAGUGACAUUCUCUGCUAUUUUCAUAAUACAUCACAUGUCUGACCAAAGGCCACCAAAACCA
rnacentral:lncRNA from 1 species